UAAUACGUAGGGUCCAAGCGUUGUCCGGAUUUAUUGGGCGUAAAGAGUUCGUAGGUGGUCGCUUAAGUCUGAUGUUAAAUACCGAAGCUUAACUUCGGCAUGGCAUUGGAAACUGGGCGGCUGGAGUCCGUCAGAGGUAACUGGAAUUCCAGGUGUAGCGGUGAAAUGCGUAGAUAUCUGGAGGAACACCCGUGGCGAAAGCGAGUUACUGGGACGGUACUGACACUGAGGAACGAAAGCCUGGGGAGCGAAAGGGAUUAGAUACCCCUGUAGUCCAGGCCGUAAACGAUGGAUACUAGGUGUUGGUGGAUUCGACCCCAUCAGUGCCGCAGUUAACGCGAUAAGUAUCCCGCCUGGGGAGUACGACCGCAAGGUUG
rnacentral:rRNA from 1 species